UCGGGAAUUUUGGGCAAUGGGCGAAAGCCUGACCCAGCAACGCCGCGUGAAGGAUGAAGUAUUUCGGUAUGUAAACUUCGAAAGAAUAGGAAGAAUAAAUGACGGUACUAUUUAUAAGGUCCGGCUAACUACGUGCCAGCAGCCGCGGUAAUACGUAGGGACCAAGCGUUGUUCGGAUUUACUGGGCGUAAAGGGCGCGUAGGCGGCAAUUCAAGUCAUCUGUGAAAUCUCCGGGCUUAACUCGGAACGGUCAGAUGAUACUGCUUUGCUAGAGUGCAGAAGGGGCAAUCGGAAUUCUUGGUGUAGCGGUGAAAUGCGUAGAUAUCAAGAGGAACACCUGAGGUGAAGACGGGUUGCUGGGCUGACACUGACACUGAGAGACAAAAGCUAGGGGAGCAAAUGGGAUUAGAUACCCCCGUAGUCCCUGAGCGGGCUGGCAAGGCGCAU
rnacentral:rRNA from 1 species